CCUACGGGAGGCAGCAGUAGGGAAUAUUGGACAAUGGGCGCAAGCCUGAUCCAGCCAUGCCGCGUGCAGGAUGAAGGCCUAUGGGUCGUAAACUGCUUUUGUACGGGAAGCGGUACCGUAAGAAUAAGGAUCGGCUAACUUCGUGCCAGCAGCCGCGGUAAUACGAAGGAUCCAAGCGUUGUCCGGAUUUACUGGGUUUAAAGGGAGCGUAGGCGGACUUUUAAGUCAGUGGUGAAAGCUUGCAGCUUAACUGUAAAAUUGCCAUUGAAACUGAAAGUCUCGAGUAUGGUUGAGGUGACUGGAAUAUAUCAUGUAGCGGUGAAAUGCUUAGAUAUGAUAUAGAACACCAAUUGCGAAGGCAGGUCACUAAACAUACUGACGCUGAGGCUCGAAAGCGUGGGGAUCAAACAGGAUUAGAUACCCUUGUAGUC
rnacentral:rRNA from 1 species